GCAUCCUUGGUCCAAGGGUAGGAUAAUUGCCUUCCAAGCAAUUGGUUCGGGUUCGAGUCCCGGAGGAUGCA